rnacentral:rRNA from 1 species
GACGAACGCUGGCGGCGUGCCUAACACAUGCAAGUCGAGCGGAGACAGUUGGAAGCUUGCUUUUGACUGUUUUAGCGGCGGACGGGUGAGUAACGCGUGAGCAACCUUUCUCUCGGUGGGGAAUAACACAGGGAAACUUGUACUAAUACCGCAUGAGACCACGGUAAGGCAUCUUACAGGGGUCAAAGAUUAAUCGCUGAGAGGAGGGCUCGCGUCUGAUUAGAUAGUUGGUAGGGUAACGGCCUACCAAGUCGACGAUCAGUAGCCGACCUGAGAGGGUGAUCGGCCACAUUGGGACUGAGACACGGCCCAAAACUCCUACGGGAGGCAGCAGUGGGGAAUAUUGGGCAAUGGGGGGGAACCCUGACCCAGCAACGCCGCGUGGAGGAAGAAGGUUUUCGGAUCGUAAAUCCUGUCCUUGGUGAAGAACACAGACGGUACCAUAGGAGGAAGCCACGGCUAACUACGUG